GUGCCAGCCGCCGCGGUAAUACGGAGGGUGCAAGCGUUGUCCGGAGUUACUGGGCGUAAAGAGCGUGUAGGCGGCUCUGCAGGUCUGAUGUGAAAGCUCCCAGGCUAAACCGGGAGAGGUCAUUGGAAACCGUAGAGCUAGAGAGCGAGAGAGGGACAUGGAAUUCCGGGUGUAGUGGUGAAAUGCGUAGAGAUCCGGAGGAACACCAGAGGCGAAGGCGGUGUCCUGGCUCGCGACUGACGCUGAGACGCGAAAGCAUGGGUAGCGAACGGGAUUAGAAACCCGGUAGUCC
rnacentral:rRNA from 1 species